rnacentral:rRNA from 1 species
GACGUAGGGCGCGAGCGUUGUCCGGAAUUAUUGGGCGUAAAGAGCUCGUAGGCGGUCUGUCGCGUCUGCUGUGAAAACUCAGGGCUUAACCCUGAGCUUGCAGUGGGUACGGGCAGACUAGAGUGCGGUAGGGGAGACUGGAAUUCCGUGGUGUAGCGGUGAAAUGCGCAGAUAUCAGGAGGAACACCGGUGGCGAAGGCGGGUCUCUGGGCCGUAACUGACGCUGGAG